CUAUAGAUUGACCGUACCGCAAACCGACACUGGUGCGCGAGAUGAGUAUUCUAAGGCGCUUGAGAGAACUCUGGAGAAGGAACUCGGCAAAUUGACACCGUAACUUCGGAAGAAGGUGUGCCUUUAGUAGGUGAACCAUUGACUUGGGGAGCCCAAUGAGGUUGCAAAGAAUCGGUGGCUGCAACUGUUUAAUAAAAACACAGCACUCUGCAAAGACGAAAGUCGACGUAUAGGGUGUGACGCCUGCCCGGUGCUGGAAGAUUAAUUGAUGGGGUGCAAGCUCUUGAUCGAAGUCCCAGUAAACGGCGGCCGUAACAGUAACGGUCCUAAGGUAGCGAAAUUCCUUGUCGGGUAAGUUCCGACCUGCACGAAUGGCGUAAUGAUGGCCACACUGUCUCCUCCAGAGACUCAGCGAAGUUGAAAUGUUUGUGAUGAUGCAAUCUCCCCGCGGAAAGACGGAAAGACCCCAUGAACCUUUACUGUAGCUUUACAUUGGACUUUGAACAGAUCUGUGUAGGAUAGGUGGGAGGCUUUGGAGCGGCGGCGCUAGCUGUCGUGGAGCCAACGUUGAAAUACCACCCUGGUGUGUUUGAGGUUCUAACCUUGUCCCGUUAUCCGGGAUGGGGACAGUGUAUGGUGGGCAGUUUGACUGGGGCGGUCUCCUCCCAAAGUGUAACGGAGGAGUUCGAAGGUACGCUAGAUACGGUCGGAAAUCGUGUUGAUAGUGCAUUGGCAUAAGCGUGCUUGACUGCGAGACUGACAAGUCGAGCAGGUGCGAAAGUAGGACAAAGUGAUCCGGUGGUUCUGUAUGGAAGGGCCAUCGCUCAACGGAUAAAAGGUACCCUGGAUAACAGGCUGAUACCGCCCAAGAGUUCAUAUCGACGGCGGUGUUUGGCACCUCGAUGUCGGCUCAUCUCAUCCUGGGGCUGUAGCCGGUCCCAAGGGUAUGGCUGUUCGCCAUUUAAAGAGGUACGUGAGCUGGGUUUAAAACGUCGUGAGACAGUUUGGUCCCUAUCUUCCGUGGGCGCUGCAAGAUUGAGAGAGCCUGCUCCUAGUACGAGAGGACCGGAGUGGACGCACCUCUGGUGUAUCGGUUGUCACGCCAGUGGCAUUGCCGAGUAGCUAAGUGCGGAAGAGAUAACCGCUGAAAGCAUCUAAGCGGGAAACUCGUCUCAAGAUGAGUCUUGCCGGGGCCUUGAGCCCCCUGAAGAGUCGUUCAAGACCAGGACGUUGAUAGGUUGGGUGUGGAAGC
rnacentral:rRNA from 1 species